AUACGUAGGUGGCAAGCGUUGUCCGGAAUUAUUGGGCGUAAAGCGCGCGCAGGUGGUUCCUUAAGUCUGAUGUGAAAGCCCACGGCUCAACCGUGGAGGGUCAUUGGAAACUGGGGGACUUGAGUGCAGAAGAGGAAAGUGGAAUUCCAAGUGUAGCGGUGAAAUGCGUAGAGAUUUGGAGGAACACCAGUGGCGAAGGCGACUUUCUGGUCUGUAACUGACGCUGAGGCGCGAAAGCGUGGGGAGCAAACAGGAUUAGAUUCCCUGGUAGUCCACGCCGUAAACGAUGAGUGCUAAGUGUUAGGGGGUUUCCGCCCCUUAGUGCUGCAGCUAACGCAUUAAGCACUCCGCCUGGGGAGUACGGUCGCAAGACUGAAACUCAAAGGAAUUGGCGGGG
rnacentral:rRNA from 1 species